AUACGAACCGUCCAAACGUUAUUCGGAAUCAUUGGGCUUAAAGGGUGCGUAGGCGGCUUGGUAGGUGGGGUGUGAAAUCCCUCGGCUCAACCGAGGAACUGCGCCCCAAACCCCUAAGCUAGAGGGAGACAGAGGUAAGCGGAACUGAUGGUGGAGCGGUGAAAUGCGUUGAUAUCAUCAGGAACACCAGUGGCGAAAGCGGCUUACUGGGUCUCUUCUGACGCUGAGGCACGAAAGCUAGGGUAGCGAACGGGAUUAGAAACCCCAGUAGUCC
rnacentral:rRNA from 1 species